UACGUAGGGGGCAAGCGUUAUCCGGAUUUACUGGGUGUAAAGGGAGCGUAGACGGUGCGUCAAGUCUGAAGUGAAAGCCCGGGGCUUAACCCCGGGACUGCUUUGGAAACUGGCGCGCUAGAGUGCUGGAGAGGUAAGUGGAAUUCCUAGUGUAGCGGUGAAAUGCGUAGAUAUUAGGAGGAACACCAGUGGCGAAGGCGGCUUACUGGACAGUAACUGACGUUGAGGCUCGAAAGCGUGGGGAGCAAACA
rnacentral:rRNA from 1 species